GAUUUCAACUUAACCAUUCAGGAGAGUCCUUGUUGGCUAGCCAGUCUGAUUGGCCAAGUUCUGGACAUGUGACCAAAUAGAACACAGAUCAGGAGUCACAGUUGGUGUGAGGUAGCUGAGACAGUUGGUAUCUGGCCUGCUAUAAUUGAGGUUGAGAUUUCACUCCAGGACUCCAGUGGCAGAGACAGUGCUCUGAGGCAGCCUGUGAGACCAUGAUUGGAGAAGAGGCCCCUGUCUACUCCCCAAUACUCAGGCUUCCUCCAGUGGCUGGAAUUUACCUACUAGCUCUACGCUCUGUCAGCUUACAGCAGCACCAGCCAUGAUGUCAUGGUCAAAGUGGUCAAGCACAGCACCCUAUGCCAGCUCCUGACUUUGUAUUUGCAACAUGUCCUGGAUCUGUGACCACCAGCAGCAGAUGGUGCAAUGAACUUCCUGAACAAGAUGUGAAAGUGUUUCCCGCUGAGCCUUGAGAGGUGAACAUACAUCGCGCCUGUCAUCUGGAUGGAACAACUUGAGGAAGGGCCGUCCAUAUUCCUGCUCCCUAACCAGGACACUGCUAAGGUGAAUAUGAGGAGUAAGUCCAUCUCUGACUUCUUUUCCCUGAAGGGCUUCACUGCCCUGAAGUCGGCACACCUGUGUAUGCCCUGCCUGUGACGUCACUGAUGCAAACCAAAUGGAGAGAGCAGCAUGGCCGAUGCCUGCCCUGUGGACUACACUGAUAGUCUAAGAGCAAGACAAGCACCAAGGGCUGUCAUGGCAGUGAGUCAAAGCCAAAGUACGCAGAGAUAACGAGGAAGAAAGGAGAAACUUGACGGAGUGAGGAGAGCAUUGGCAUCCAUUUUGGAAGGCCAUGCCCACUGCAAUAGGUAAAGCAGAGUAGCUUCUCUCCAGGAGCCUGGACCUAAUGGCAGAAGUUUCGGGCGAUCCCUGAGCAUGCUCCAUGGAGGAAGACCCUCAUGUCCCGAGUGUGCGCAGUACAGGAGUUCACUAAACUCAGCAUGCUUAAGGAAGAGUUUACCACUCUCCUGGGCAUGCUUAAAUGACAGACAGAAGAGAGAAGAUUACCUUUCAGCAGAUUCCAAGGUGCCUGCCUCCCAGUGUGGCAAAGGAUACCAAACUGUGGCUGAGAACACCACAGUUGACACUGAGACUUGCUGCCAGCUCUUGGGCCCAGGGAGCACAUGGAACUGUUUGAGGAGCACGAGAAUCCACCUUGCUACAUGUUAAAGAAGAGAGACAACUGGAGCCUUCCCCUUACACUCGUGCACUCCAUCUAGCAGGCUUCAAAAGCCUAAUCUGUGAUUCUAGACACCGGGAAGGAGGAGACUGAGGGGUGAAGGCUGGCCUGGCCUGCGUGUUCUGCCAGGGCAGUGACCUGCAAAUGAUGUUCCGCUGACGAGAUUGUUGUGUAGUAACUGGGGAAGUCUAAGAGGCUUUUCAAAAGUAAACAGCAUAUGCAUCUGGAGCAUGCUGGGAACAUAA